rnacentral:rRNA from 1 species
GAUGAACGCUGGCGGCGUGCCUAAUACAUGCAAGUCGAGCGAACAGACGAGGAGCUUGCUCCUCUGACGUUAGCGGCGGACGGGUGAGUAACACGUGGAUAACCUACCUAUAAGACUGGGAUAACUUCGGGAAACCGGAGCUAAUACCGGAUAAUAUAUUGAACCGCAUGGUUCAAUAGUGAAAGACGGUUUUGCUGUCACUUAUAGAUGGAUCCGCGCCGCAUUAGCUAGUUGGUAAGGUAACGGCUUACCAAGGCAACGAUGCGUAGCCGACCUGAGAUGGUGAUCGGCCACACUGGAACUGAGACACGGUCCAGACUCCUACGGGAGGCAGCAGUAGGGAAUCUUCCGCAAUGGGCGAAAGCUUGACGGAGCAACGCCGCGUGAGUGAUGAAGGUCUUCGGAUCGUAAAACUCUGUUAUUAGGGAAGAACAAAUGUGUAAGUAACUAUGCACGUCUUGACGGUACCUAAUCAGAAAGCCACGGCUAACUACGUG